UUCAGACUACGGAAGUCUACAGGCAGUAGAGGCAUCUGAUUAUUGCAAACAACUCCUAGUGAGGGAACCAGAUAGCGUUCCCUUCAGAAAACGUGAAAUCUGAAAAUGUGGUUGUCUGAACUAAAAGCAGGGUGCCCCAUUUUCACGUAAAUAAAAUCUAGAUCACCUGCUGCUUCAGUAUCUUGUUCAGGUUCCUCCUGCCAGACUCUUCACCGACACCCACUCUCUUCUUUUCCCUCACAGGUUAUAUGACCUGUUACUUAGCCCUUCGGGGCCUGUUUCCUCAUCUGGAACAUGAAGACAAAACACCUAUUUCAUAGAGGUGCUUUGUGGAUUAAAUGAGAAAAUGUUACUCCUUCCCUGCUCCUCCCUCCCCGCCCUCUUCAGAGAGCCCUAGGGUAAAUAAAUGUCUGAAGGGCUAAAGAUGCAAGACAAGGAGAGAUGCCCAUUAAGAUCUUCUGCUUUUCUAAAGACAACUAACUUAGCAAACACUGGAAAGCAACAGGGUUAAGAACGGCAGCAGACAUGAAUCCUUGAAACCACCACUCUGGGCUUAAGUCUGAUCUGAUUGGAAGAGCACACUGCCGAUCAAAUCCAAACUACGUACCACACUAAUUCGCAUGUUUAUUCAUUCAUAAACUUUGGAAGCUGUGAACACUACCAUAUUGGGUAGCAUGUAAUGGCUGUAGGGAGAGGCAACCAGAGCAGCUAAAGGCUACAUGUACUCCAUGAGACAUACUAUGUAAACAUGCUGAAUAAAAGGCAAAGUACAAUGUAAUUAGUCAACAACUCUUGAAAUUUUCCUGUAACUGAUUGUGGAGAGGUGGAAAUUUUUCCAUAGGGCUGACUGUAAGGUGUUAGAAACAUAUGCCAUUUGACUUGGAUGGAAUUAUUUGAGUUGACCCUUUCAGUGGCGGUCGGGGUCUUACUAUUUAAGACUCUUUCUCAACUAAGGAAGUAAUGUUAAUGCUUUCUAGUAUUGCAACUCUAAAUAAACCUUUUUACGAGUA